AAGCCUCUGGACCGUCCCCCACAGCCUUGCCUCGAACCAGCAUCUUCCGUGCCUCCCUGCCAUUUGGUAUACGCCACGGUCUGGAGGCCGCUAUCUCCGCUUGAGCUGAUUGGGAAGUAUUGGUCAAGGAUUUCUCCAAGAUAAGGAAGUUUAUAUUGAGAAGGAAUUGGGGUAUGUUUGAAAAGCUAACAUAAAAUAGCCUUGGAGUAUGUACCAGUGUAUUUUAUUGGAAUCUGGUUAGAUUUAAUAAGUAGUCUCCAAUUCAUGUAGAUGCAUAGUAGUAUCAAGGAUCAACAUCAAAUGUUCCGUGCUAUGUAAUUGUAGUCUAAAGUGAGAUGCUGUACAAUGGGGCAGCUCACAUUAUUUUCCAUUUCAUUGUUCUUUUCUAAGCUACCUCUGGAUUUUCAUUUGCUAUAUCUGAGUACUGAUAUGUUGUAGUUGUAACCUAAUUUUUCGUGUUCAUUGUCUAUGGCAUUUGUUUAGCAGGUCC